rnacentral:rRNA from 1 species
AGUAGCACAGGGGGUUCUCUUGGGUGGAACCAGGGGAGGUUUCAUUACCGAGUUUACAACUCCCAAACCCCUGUGAACAUACCUUUAUGUUGCCUCGGCGGAUCAGCCCGCGCCCCGUAAAACGGGACGGCCCGCCGCAGGAAACCCUAAACUCUGUUUUUAGUGGAACUUCUGAGUAUAAAAAACAAAUAAAUCAAAACUUUCAACAACGGAUCUCUUGGUUCUGGCAUCGAUGAAGAACGCAGCAAAAUGCGAUAAGUAAUGUGAAUUGCAGAAUUCAGUGAAUCAUCGAAUCUUUGAACGCACAUUGCGCCCGCCAGUAUUCUGGCGGGCAUGCCUGUUCGAGCGUCAUUUCAACCCUCAAGCCCAGCUUGGUGUUGGGAUCUGUCCUAACCGACAGUCCCCAAAUUGAUUGGCGGUCACGUCGAGCUUCCAUAGCGUAGUAAUUUACACAUCGUUACUGGUAAUCGUCGCGGCCACGCCGUUAAACCCCAACUUCUGAAUGUUGACCUCGGAUCAGGUAGGAAUACCCGCUGAACUUAAGCAUAUCAAUAAGCGGAGGAA